CCACCUCACUGCCCCUCUCCUUGCUCUCAGACCUCCAGCUUCCCUCACUCCCCUGUAACUUCAAAACCUGAAUUUUUGUCCCCUUCAUGGUCUGCAAGCCAACUCCUCCUCUGUCUGUUGGGAACAGAAGGACUUAAACUUGAGAUUAUGGUGAAAACACACAUGUUAGCAACUCUGAGUGUCUCUUAACAGAAAUACAUACCAGUAUCAUCACAGAUAGGAGUAGAGAAUUUAAAAAAUAGAUUGUGGACAAUUUUGAAGUUAUAUAAACUCCAGAGAAUAGUUCAAAGAACCACCUGAACACAUCACCCAACUUCAACUGUCAUCGAUAGGCCCCAUCUUCUUUAAUCUUCCGUCCUCACUUUCCCUCAUCCUAAUACUUCACUGAAUGUGAAAACAAAUCCAAACACAACAGCACGUCACCGGUCCGUGCUUCAGCAGGUACGUACAUGUUCAGUGUCCCCAAACUCUUGUGCAUUAAAGAUUUGUAAAAAUAUAAUAUUGUACAAAAUAACAUUGUACAAAAAUAAUAUCUAUUUAUAUGGCUAAAUCAUGUUCCAUUAUAUAGAUGUACCGGUAUUUGUCUAUCAACUCACCUUUCAAAGGGCAUAUUGAUUGACUUCAAGUUUGGACAAUCAUCAAUAAAGCAGAGAAGUCCAACUGCUCUCACAUUAUUGUGUUUAUGUUGUAAUCUCCCAAAUGGUGAGCUCAUUUGAUGGUUGUACUGACCGAGAAAGUGGAGUAAGAGCAAGGCGUCCUGUGUUUUGGAGCUGUGAGGUUCAUGGAUGACACAUUUGAGUGGAAGAAAGUCCAGACCCGCACGUCCACAUCCUCAGACAAUCCUCUAUGGAUCUCCUCUAUGCACUUUCCUCCCGGGCAGAGUUGGGUCUUCUUUGAACACACAGAUUUUGAACAUGUUGUUUUUCCUUUAUGAGUACUCCCACCAGCCACCUCGCCCAGCUUGCCAAGGAUCAUCCCCAAGCCAAGCUGCACAGAGGACAGCAGCCCCUCCAUGGCACUGACCCACCACAGGGCUCUGCCCAGUUACCACAGAUCCACCAGCCACAGCACACUCCAGGGAACACCCCGACAUUCCGCCUGGAACCCAACCAGCAACUGACAGUCUGGAAAGGUCAGUUAUAUGGUGGGUGUUGGGGGAGAUUUGUAAAUAAAUGAUGCUCAUCUCCAUUACUGUUUAAUGUUCCUUCUAAAUUCCCUCUUUCUUCUUUGUUUGUAUUUAUAUAAAGUUAAAACAUAAUGAAAUGUGUCUACAUUAAGUGUAUGACUUGACACAUCUUUAAAACCAUAUACCCCCUACAGCAUUCAAGAACCCUUUCAAUAAAUGAAUCACAUCUGUUAGCA
rnacentral:lncRNA from 1 species